GUAUGUAUGCCAAGUGCAAAUCUAAGCAAUCAAGGAAAGGAACCCGCCCGUCCAAAGCUUUAUCCCUGUCGGACGCCUGCGCCGCAAACCCGUUCGCGGCAGGCGGGAUGGGCGGGAUGGCCGAUGCGGUUUGCUACUUUGCUUUGCCAGCAGUGCCAGGCGCCGUCACCAAUCAAGUACACGUGCAGCUGCCCAGACGGCGCCCUGAUGCCGUGGUUUCAGGCCAGCUCCGGAAUCGGCGCCACCUGCACUGUUACUGCCUGUGUUCAUGUGUUGCUUGUCAACCGUUGCUAGUUCAGCAGCCCACCACUACCACUGCUACUGUACGUCCAGUGAAGCCUAGGGGUGCUGCACUCGUGUCUGGUGGUGGUGAAGCCUCUCUCUUCCAGGCCUUCGUUUCCGCUGCUGGGGAUCACUUGCGUUAGUCCCCGCCCAGUGCUCGUAUCUUCCAUCUACACUGUAGAAAUCUGCGCAAAAUCCGCCGAAGGCGGAGAAAAAUUUUUGGGUUUGGGUGCCACGCAUCUACGCAGUGUAGACGGUUUUGGCCGGUUUUGGCGCAAAAAUGGGGGAAGCGUAGACGUUUUGGGGGGCUUGGGGGCUUAAGUGUAGAUGCCGCGGUCAGGGUCAUCUACGCAUGUGUAGAUGCCGGGUGCCUGAGGGCAUCUACAAGAUACGAGCACUGUGACCCCGCCGGAUACUCACGAUGACUGUGCACGUAUGGCCAGCUGCAUAGCCUUACAUGCACAGUAGUAGGGUGCAUGCUGCAACAUGCAUGCAUACAUGACUCAGGUAUGUAGCAGUCUCAGGGAGUAGUCUAAACUUCAAAAGCAAACAUGGCCGCCUGCCCCUUCCAUCCAUCCAGGUGCGUGCAUGUGGUACGCAUCAUAUGCUUGGAGCACCUGGCGCAACCAUGCGCCAUACUUGCAACUAGUGCUUCUAAGUGCAUCUACACCCUCACGUAUUGUCUACAUGGCUAGCUACUACUACUAGAUAGCAAAGAUGCCGUUAGUUGUCAUUGAUAGGGAGCGUAAGCUAAGGAUGCAGUGCACACAACAAUAAGCGCAAUCAAUGUGCUGCGCGAAUAAUAACCCAGCCGAGCAGUUGCAUCAGUUUCAAUACGAGCGAGGGCUCUGCAAGUCCUAACGCAGACCAAUGCAGCGAUCAAAUUGCGGUGGCUACAGCCUACAGACAUGCACACGCAUAACUCGUAAGGAACAGUUCAUGGGUUCAGAGUACGGCAACCAACCUGCUGAGCGCAGCAACACGUACGGCAACUGCCCGCCGCCGCCCAGGCGUGCGUGACUACUGCCUAUUCACAACUACUCCCAUUAUUCCAGCAAUACUUGCAUGCGCCACAUGCGCCUGCUGAGUCGAACUAGAGGCAGAACGCGUCAAUCUCGGUCUCAGUGAAGCACCGCCGCGCACUGACAGCGUGUUCAAACACCUGCCGCCGCGCUUGUGCUUGCGGCGGCAUCGCGGCGGCAGUAGCAGCUACAACCUCGCCGCCGCCGCUGCCCCUACCGCCACUGCCGGCAGCAGCACUGCCACCGUCCAUUGCUGCAGCAGCCGCGUUCGUCUCUCCUGCUUCUGCUUCUGCUGUUGCUGACGGGACGGUUUCCAGCAUCGGCGGCCACGAACCUCGCCCCGUCAGCUGUUGCGCCGCCCCUGCUGCCGCCGCCGCCGCCCCCGGCCGCCGCCUGUGCUGCUGCUGCUGCUGCUGCUGCUGUUGCUGCUGCUGGUGUUGCUGCUGCUGUUGCAGGUGUUGCAGGUGCUGGUGCUUGUGGUGUUGCUGCUGCAGCAGGCCUGCCCGGUUGAGGCCCAGACUCGCCAGCUCCAGCAACAGCCGCUCGCGGGAGCCGGGCGGGGCGCUGCGGGUGGGGGUGCGGGUGCGGGUGCGGGUGCGUGCACGUGUGAAUAUGCGCACACACAUACCAUCAGGACCCACAACCCAUAACCCACAGGCAACGGAAGUAAGGUCCAAGCAGGAACACUUGAAUGAGGCACUUGAUUGGCGGCACGUGGUAUCAUUCAAGCGAUAGCCCAGCAUGCAUGUAUGCCCACCCCACCGCUGCCGCGCCACUCCUGCCGCCGCCCCAGCCCAGCCCCAGCAGACGUACGGCAGUUCCAUCAAAGCAAGGCCCCACACGCACCAGCACACAGCACAGCAGCCAACACGCACCUCAGCUCCAGAGUGGUCGUGGCGCUCAGUCGCCGCUGCAGCUGUUGCAGCUGUUGCAGCUGUUGCAGCUGUUGCAGCUGUUGCAGCUGUUGCAGCUGUUGCAGCAGUUUCCGGCCGGCGGUGGCACUACCACCACCACUACCACGAGUACUGGCGGCGGCGGCAGCGGUGGCGGUGUCUGGCAGAUGAGCAGCAGCAGUGUCCGCGGCGGCUGCCGUGGCCGCCCGCUCCUGCUCCUGCUCCUGCGGCUGUGCCUGCGGCUGCGGCGGCAGACGCCGCAGUCCACCCCUGUCGCUCCCUGGCAGGGCCCUGGGCCGAGCA
rnacentral:lncRNA from 1 species